rnacentral:rRNA from 1 species
GUGGGGAAUUUUGGACAAUGGGGGCAACCCUGAUCCAGCCAUGCCGCGUGCGGGAAGAAGGCCUUCGGGUUGUAAACCGCUUUUGUCAGGGAAGAAAUCCUUUGGGUUAAUACCUCGGAGGGAUGACGGUACCUGAAGAAUAAGCACCGGCUAACUACGUGCCAGCAGCCGCGGUAAUACGUAGGGUGCGAGCGUUAAUCGGAAUUACUGGGCGUAAAGCGUGCGCAGGCGGUGCUGUAAGACAGGCGUGAAAUCCCCGGGCUCAACCUGGGAAUUGCGCUUGUGACUGCAGUGCUGGAGUACGGCAGAGGGGGAUGGAAUUCCGCGUGUAGCAGUGAAAUGCGUAGAUAUGCGGAGGAACACCGAUGGCGAAGGCAGUCCCCUGGGCCUGUACUGACGCUCAUGCACGAAAGCGUGGGGAGCAAACAGGAUUAGAUACCCCUGUAGUC